rnacentral:lncRNA from 1 species
CCAGGAAGGGAUCGGAGGACAUGAGACCACCAUUUAAAGCUCACGAUCUUAGGAUGGUCCUUGAUUCAUCGGAGAGUUUAAAUUCGCCCAUGCCACAUAGGAUAGGGACCACAAUGCAUAACCUAAAACCUACGAGAAUACCAUUACAUGCAGAUGAGAUCGUUCAAGAUACGAUAUUGUUGCAGAUGAGAUUGCAUGUAGAGUAGGAUUCUUGGAUGUAUUAGUUCUGAAUCGUAUAUUGGAUCCUAUUACCCACAAGCAGCUUAUGAUACAUAUGGAUAUGGUGCGUCUGAGGCAUUAUCUUCCAGUAGAUACUAUCCUACGCCACCUAAAGCACCUAAUGAAUCAAAUUUUCAUGCUAGCAAUUCAGAUGGGUUCCCCCACAAUUGCAGUAUUGCACAUAUGACUCUUCCUAAAGACAAAGCCAUAGUACAUAGAGCAGUUUUUCAGGAUGCAUACCUUAUGGGAUGAGUAUACAGGACUAAGAUGCCAUAUAGUUGGAGAAUUGGUGUAAUGCACCUCAUGGAUAUGAAAAUGAUCUUGACAUCU